rnacentral:rRNA from 1 species
AUUGAACGCUGGCGGCAGGCCUAACACAUGCAAGUCGAGCGGAUGAAGGGGGCUUGCUCCUGGAUUCAGCGGCGGACGGGUGAGUAAUGCCUAGGAAUCUGCCUGGUAGUGGGGGAUAACGUCCGGAAACGGGCGCUAAUACCGCAUACGUCCUGAGGGAGAAAGUGGGGGAUCUUCGGACCUCACGCUAUCAGAUGAGCCUAGGUCUGAUUAGCUAGUUGGUGGGGUAAAGGCCUACCAAGGCGACGAUCCGUAACUGGUCUGAGGGGAUGAUCAGUCACAGUGGAACUGAGACACGGUCCAGACUCCUACGGGAGGCCGCAGUGGGGAAUAGUGGACACUGGGCGAAAUACUGCACCAGCCAUGGAGCGUGGGUGAAGAAGGUCUUCGGAUUGUAAAGCACUUUAAGGUGGGAGAAACGGCAGUAAGUUAAUACCUUGCUGUUUUGACGUUACCAACAGAAUAAGCACCGGCUAACUUCGU